UACGUAGGGGGCAAGCGUUAUCCGGAUUUACUGGGUGUAAAGGGAGCGUAGACGGCCAGACAAGUCUGAAGUGAAAAUCCAGCGCUUAACGUUGGAAGUGCUUUGGAAACUGCCGGGCUAGAGUGCAGGAGGGGCAGGCGGAAUUCCUAGUGUAGCGGUGAAAUGCGUAGAUAUUAGGAGGAACACCAGUGGCGAAGGCGGCCUGCUGGACUGCAACUGACGUUGAGGCUCGAAAGCGUGGGUAUCGAACAGG
rnacentral:rRNA from 1 species